ensembl:snRNA U6 U6 spliceosomal RNA
GUGCUCACUUGGGCAGCACAUAUACUAAAAUUGGAACAAUACACAGAAGAUUAGCAUGGCCCCUGCACAAGGAUGACACGCAAAUUCAUGAAGCGUUCCAUAUUUUU